rnacentral:rRNA from 1 species
GACGUAGGGCGCGAGCGUUGUCCGGAAUUAUUGGGCGUAAAGAGCUCGUAGGCGGUGUGUCGCGUCGGCCGUGAAAACCUGCAGCUUAACUGUGGGCUUGCGGUCGAUACGGGCAUCACUGGAGUUCGGCAGGGGAGACUGGAAUUCCUGGUGUAGCGGUGAAAUGCGCAGAUAUCAGGAGGAACACCGGUGGCGAAAGCAGCUUUCUGGGACGGUACUGACGCUGAGACGCGAAAGCGUGGGGAGCGAACAGG